GUUCUGUUUUCAGGUCUGUUUUUCUAGUUCUACUUACUGUUUAUUUCUUUUCAGUGGAUCACAUCAUCUUUUAAUGUGUCCAAUAACUUUUAGUUGAAGUAAUAACUCAUAUGUGAAAGAAUGGCAGUGGCAGAAGUAAGAACACUGGAGACUGAUAUAAAUGAUUUUUACUCUAGUCCAGAAAAUAGUAUGCCUUUCUGAUCAAGCUCAUUUGUGUGUGUGUGUGCGCGCGCGCGCACUGAGCCAAUCUAGUGUCUCUACUGGGCCAGGGCUGUGUCAUUCCUCUAUUUGGAUUCAAGUGGCCACAAAUUUCAAGUUAAGAUUUGAAGGUGGGAUCAUAACCUUCCCACUACUUAUGGUCUAGAUUUUGAGUGCUGAGAUUUGUCUCUGUUUUCCUGUCCUGGUCUCAGACAUCAGCAGGCCCCUUGUGUGAUGCUGACAUGCAGUGGAAGGUUCUCUGCUCCCCUGCCUCUCCUACCUUGCCAGGCCUCUCCAUGGUACUCUGGGUGAGGUUUGGAGUGCUGGCAGGAAUUAUAUUUGAAAUAUAUAUUAAUGCCUCAAACCAUUUCAGGUAUUCAACAAAGGAUAAUCAUUAUUUUUUAAAACUGUAUUUUGAAAUAAUUUUAGACCUACAGAAAAGUUGCAAAAAAAAAGUAUCAAAAAAAUCUCAUCUACCCCUCACCACACUUCCUGCAUGAUAAGAUUUUUACCUUGUUUGCUUCUGUUUCUUACUAUUGUAUACAUCAAAUCUUCAUCUGUCUACAUGAACUCUCUCCUGAAUCAUUUCAGAAUGAGUUCCAGAUAUAAAGCCUUUUACUUUUGAAUGCUUCAGCUGCCUUACUUAAAACAAGUAUCCCAUGAGCAUUAAAAUCAGGAAAUUAACAUCAAAACAGUAAUUAUCUAAUCUGCAGACUUUUUAAGAUUUGAUCAGUGUCCCCGGCUCAGAUUUCUAUCCAGGAUAAAAACUUCAUUUACUUAUGUCUGUUUAGUCUUUUCUAAUCUAGAGUGGUCCUCCAGCCUUUUUUCAACCUUCCAUAGCCUCAUUGUGUUUAAAGAGUACAAGUCAUUUAUUUUGUAGAAUGUCCCUUAACUUGACUUCUCUGAUGUUUCUCCAUGAUGGUGUCCAGGUCGUGUUGGGCAGGGAUACCACACCUAUAGGAUGCAUCAAAUCAGAAGGCACAUGAUGUC
rnacentral:lncRNA from 1 species